CCCCCAAAACUCCAGGAAUUGCAGAGGAACACUUCUGGAAUCGCAGCAACAGUGCUGGAACAGUGGCGGCGCGUCCGCCGGGAAAACAGCAGGCCAAAACUGGCUUCUUCUCCUCUUCUCUUCUGCAACGCCGACGACGCCGUGACCUGCAUAACAACAAAGAAACGCAACAACGCAGGCAGUUGAUUUUAUUUUUCUUAGAUCCGGUUCCUUCGGGUCUAUCACGGUUGGAUCUGCUUCACUGCAGAUCCGGUUUCUUCUUCUUCAAGUGGCCGGUCGCUGGACCAUGGAGCUGCUGGUCUGUGGGCGCUGGUUGAAGGAGACGGUUGUGGCUUGCUGCCGCCGUUCGGUGGCUGUGGGGGAGACCGAAGGAGCAGAGGAUCCGUUGAAAUGGGGGGAGCUGGGUCUCGGCUGUUCAGCCGACUGCUCUGGUGAGAGAGAGGGAAGAUCGGCUGAGAAGGAGAAGAGAUCGGCUGCUGGCGGUGGAAUCCGUUCGUUGCAGGCUGAGGGGGAAGCCCGGCGCCGAAGGAGAGGAUGGAGGGCGGAUCGGCGCUGCUGCUGGUGUUCGGCCGCCGCUGCGACCGACAGUGAAGAAUGUGGGUCUGUGGCCGCUGAAGCUCCGGUGGAGGCAAGGGGAGAGAUCGGUUGGCUGAGGAGAGAUCGGUUGGUUGUUGUGUUGUUGCUGCCGAUGGAGGCUGUUCGGCCGACUGUUCUGGUGAAGGAAAAUGGUGAAGGGAGACGGCUGCCUUGUGGGAGCAGCCAAGGAGAUAGUGACGGCUAUGGGAGAUGAAAGGAAAAUGGUGAAAUGGCGUGGAGGAAAGGGCUGGAAAACGGUGCCGGUUUGAGGGGGAAGAAGAUGCUGGCACCGGCUGGAGAGGGAGAAGGAAAAUGAAGGCUUGUGCAGGCGGCUGAAGAGGAAAAAUCUGCCAGACCAAAGGAGAGAGGGGGGCGGCGGCUCCCCUUGAAAAAAAAGGGUUUGCAGGGUUAAGAUUUUUAGGGUUUAUUUCCUCUUUUUUUUUUUUUUUUCAAAAAUGCCCCCCAGCUUAGCUGAAAAUGAAGGCUAUUUAUAGGCAAAAUAGUUUUUCGGGCUUCAAAAUUGGUCCCUCAAGUUUUGUGUUUGGCCCCUGAUUUCAAUCGAUUCACUUGGUAAAAAUUAAAUUGGGUAUCUUAAAAUUAUGAUUUUUCAAUUAAGUCCAAAUUAAACUCCCAAACUUAAUUUUUCACCAAUUAAGCCCUCAAAUUAAUUUGACCCGCUUAAAGUAUAAUUAAGUCCUUGCACUUAAUUAAAUCCUCCAAUUGGACCCAAAUUAAUUCUUGAACAUAAUUAAAAUUCAAUUUGGCCCAUGAUUAAAUCAAAUUGGCCCAUUAAAAAUUUAAUUAUGUCAUUGGACUUAAUUCUUAUGCAAAUUCGUCCAAUACUCAUUUAAUUUGACCUUUGAAUUUGCAUUUUUCUAUUUUUGGGCGUAACAGCGUACACUUGGGCCUUGAAAUUCUUCCGAAAAUUGCAGCUUGAUUUUCACCUAUUUGCAGCCUUUCUUGGUUGGCUUUCUCCGCAUUGCCAGCCUUUAUUUUUUUUAUUUUUUUAUUUUUUUAUUUUUUUUAUUUUUUGGGAAAAAACGAAUUUUUGGGGAAUCACCCAAAAUUGGGUGAUGACAGUUGCCCCCCUCUUUACAAUGCUUAUGGUAGAAAGUCUCGUAAGAGACUUUAGAUAGUAAGCAUUGUAAAGAAGAAAGACAAGGAUGAGAUGUGAUUGACUCAUCUUGUUGAGGAAUGAUGAAUCCUCAGGAGGGCUAGGAAGCACACUCGGAGUAAAAACUGGAAGAAUUUUUGAAAAUUCAAAGAUUUGCAAUGGUCGAACUGUCAUGGGUGACCUACCCGGUGAAAAGUUUUUGAGGUGGUCUCAUUGUAAAGGGUGACCUACCUAGGUGAAAAACACGAAGAUUUUAAAGUGGUGAAAAAUACAGAGAUUUUUCAAGGUGGUGAAAAUGCAAAGAUUUUCCAAAGGGGUGAAAAAUACAGAGAUUUUUCAAAGUGAGGAAAAAUACAAAGAUUUUUCAAAAGGAAGGAAAAAUACAGAGAUUUUUCAAAGGUGGUCUUGUUGUAAUGGGCGACUUGCCCGGGUGAAAAAUGAAAAGAGUUUUCAAAGUGGUGAAAAAUACAAAGAUUUUUCAAAGCGGUGAAAAAUACAAAUAUUUUUCAAAGUGAGGAAAAAUACAAAGAUUUUUCAAAAAGGGUGAAAAAUACAGAGAUUUUUCAAAGUGUUUUCAUGGGAAAAAUUUGAAGGUGGUGAGAAACGCAAGGAUUUCUCAAAAAUGGUUUUAUUGUUAUGGGCAACCGACCCAAAUGGAAGAUGAAAAGUGUUUUGAAAGAGGUCUGAUUACAAUGGGUGACCUACCCGGGCAAGAAGACAAAAUGUCUAAAAAGGAUGACAUGAUAGGACUCGAUGGGGAACAAGGGCUGAAGAGCGCACUCGAAAGGAGGUAGGGUUAGAAAACAUAUUACCUGAGAGGUGAGCGCUCAAAGGCGCACUAAAAAAAAAGAGGCAGGGUUUGGACAACGCACUACCUAAGAGGUGAGGGCUCGAAGGCACAUUCAAAAGAGGAGGCAGGGUUAGAAAACACACUACCUAAGGUGGUUGAGGGCUCUAAGGCGCAUUAAAAAAGGAGGCAAGGUUGGAAAACACACUACCUAAGAUGGUUGUUGGCCCUAAGGCGCACUUGAAAAGAGGCAAGGUUGGAAAACACACUACCUAAGAGGGUUGUUGGCCCUAAGGCGCACUUGAAAAGAGGCAGGGUUGGAAAACACACUACCUAAGAUGGUUGGUGGCUCGAAGGAGCACCAAAAAGGGAGGCAGGGUUGGAAAACACACUACCUAAGAUGGUGGUUGGCCCUAAGGCGCUCUUGAAAAGAGGCAGGGUUGGAAAACACACUACCUAAGAUGGUUGGUGGCUCGAAGAAGCACCAAAAGGGAGGUAGGGUUAGAAAACACAUUACCUAAGGUGGUUGAUGACCCUAAGGCGCACUUAAAAAGGAGGUAGGGUUGGAAAACACACUACCUAAGGUGGUUGAUGACCCUAAGGCGCACUUAAAAGAGGUAGGGUUGGAAAACACACUACCUAAGAGGGUUGUUGGCCCUAAGGCGCACUUGAAAAGAGGCAGGGUUGGAAAACACACUACCUAAGAUUGGUUGGUGGCUCGAAGGAGCACCAAAAAGGAGGCAGAGUUGGAAAACACACUACCUAAGGUGGUUGACGGCCCUAAGGUGCACUCAAAGGGAGGUAGGGUUAGAAAACACAUUACCUAAGGUGGUUGAUGACCCUAAGGCGCACUUAAAAAGGAGGUAGGGUUGGAAAACACACUACCUAAGGUGUGAGGGCUCGAAGGCCCACUAAAAAGGGAGGCAGGGUUAGAAAACACUCUACCUAAGGUGUGAGGGCUCGAAGGCCCACUAGAAAAGGAGGUAGAUAGGGCUAGAAAGCCCACUAUCUAAGAUGUGAGGGCUCGAAAGCCCACUCAAAAAUGGAGGUAGAUAGGGCUAGAAAGCAUACUAUCUACAUGGUGAGGGCUUGAAAGCCCACUCAAAAAUGGGGGCAGGGUUAGAAAACACACUACCUAAGGUGUGAGGGCUCGAAAGCCUACUCAAAAGGAAGGUAGAUAGGGCUAGAAAGCAUACUAUCUAAGAUGUGAGGGCUCGAAAGCCCACUCAAAAAUGGAGGCAGGGUUAGAAAACACACUACCUAAGGUGUGAGGGCUCGAAGGCGCGCUAGAAAAGGAGGUAGAUAGGGCUAGAAAGCCCACUAUCUAAGAUGUGAGGGCUCGAAAGCCCACUAAAAAAUGGAGGCAGGGUUAGAAAACACACUACCUAAGGUGGUUGUUGGCCCUAAGGCGCACUAAAAAGGAGGCAGGGUUGGAAAACACGCUACCUAAGGUGGUUGUUGGCCCUAAGGCGCACUAAAAAGAGGCAGGGUUGGAAAACACACUACCUAAGGUGGAUGAUGGCCCUAAGGCGCACUAAAAAGAGGCAGGGUUGGAAAACACACUACCUAAGGUGUGAAGGCUCGAAAGCCCACUCAAAAAUGGAGGCAGGGUUAGAAAACACACUACCUAAGGUGGUCGAGGGCUUUAAGGCGCACUCAAAAGGAGGUAGGGUUAGGAAACACACUACCUAAGAUAGUCAAGGGCUCUAAGGCGCACUUAAAAAGGGAGGCAGGGUUGGAAAACACACUACCUAAGGUGGUUGUUGGCUCGAAGGCGCACUAAAAAGAGAGGCAUGGUUGGAAAACGCAUUACCUAAAGUGGUUGAUGGCCCUAAGGCGCGCUUAAAAAGAGGGCAGGGUUGGAAAACACACUACCUAAGAUGGUUGAUGGCUCGAAGGCGCACUAAAGAAGAGGCAGGGUUGGAAAACACACUACCUAAGAUGCGAGGGCUCGAAAGCCCACUUAAAAGGAGGGAUGGUUAGAAAACACUCUACCUAGAGGUGUGAGGGCUCGAAGGCCCACUCAAAAAGGGAGGCAGGGUUAGAAAACACUCUACCUAAGGUGUGAGGGCUCGAAGGCCCACUAAAAAGGGAGGCAGAUAGGGCUUGAAAGCAUACUAUCUAAAUGUUGAGGGCUUAACAGCCCGCUCAAUCAAGAGGUGAUGGUGAGACACUGAUAUGUCAAGGAUGAAAGUAAUGUAUCAUGAUCAAUAUGCAUGUAUACUUACCUGAGAAAUAUAGGUCCCCUUUCUUUAUGGAUUUCCCUUUUCUACAUGGAGUUCUCUUUUCUUCAUGGAGUUCUCAUUUUCUCAAAAGUUUGAGUCUCUGAUAGUAAGCUUCGAUGGCUCUUUUCGCUCUUGCUUACUCGAGUCAUCUCUUGUGAUAUUGACCCCUGGGAAGGACUUGAUAUCAUCAUACUUCUUUGUCCUCCGCCCCUUUAUCUCAAGAGUUGCCAAUUUUACCCAAUAGUUUCUUAGAAAAGGAAUCAUGGAGCCAGCUCUACCAGAUGUUUUUGAUUGCCCACUAGCUUGAUCAUGCCCGCAAGUAUUCAAUUCGGGUUUGGGGAUGAGGCUAUGUGAAGGAAGAUUUGGUUAUUUACAAGGAGUUGUUUUCAUGCAGAAUUUCUGGAAUUUCAAAGCUACUCCGGACACAGAAAUCAUUUUGACAUCGAUUCAAAGCAAACUCAUUCUGAAGUGAUUCCUAUGGAGAGGUUUUCAGAAGUGAUGAAAACUUUUUGUUUUGAUUUUUGGUGAAAAAUAUGAAGUGACAUUUGGUUGGUCACAAAAGGUUGAAAUUUCAAUUUUAGGGUUAUUGAGAACCGUCUUUCGACGAAAAUGUGAAAAACACAAAGUGACAUCUGGUGGGUCACAAAAGGUUGAAAUAUCAAUUUGAGGGUUAUUGAGAACCGUCUUUCAAAGCAUUCAUUUUAUUUGCAUGAAUAAUGAUUUGGUUCGCAUGAGAAAGCACUGCCUACCGAUCCAGAUUGCUUGCCUUUGAUCAGAAAGGGCUUGAUUAGGCACGUAAUGUAGGCUUGGGCUAUUGGCUAUGAAGCAAAUGAUAUUUGUAGGCUCAAAAGGUGUUUAAGGGAUUUUAAGACUAAGGAUCACUAGUGCUUAUAUCCCAAACGUUUUUGCUCAUACAUUUCUGGACCUUGGAAUUGAUUUGUAAAAUGGUCCACCGUGCCCCCCAAUGUUGGGCUUUGGGCUCUUUCUCAUUUUUUUUGUUUUCUUCAUUUGGUCUUGAGCAUCAUUGCAUUGACUUUUUUUUUUUUUUAUGCUCAGAACUUUGGAUCCUUUGGAUUUUUUUAUGCCCCCUAGCUUUGUAUGGGCACCUUCGAUGAUUGAGAAUUUUCUUUUAUGCCCCCCAGUAUUGUUUGGGCACUUUCAAUCGUUGAGGAUUUUUUGGCACUUGCCCCCCAGUGUAGGGUGUGAUCCUAGCCAAGGUUAUUUUUCAAGAAAAAUUUAUUAGGCUCAAAAGGGGACUGCAAAGGAUAUAUUUCAGCCUUGUGAAAGGAUUAUCAAAGAUGGCCUUUCUUCAUCUCAAAUGCAUGCAUUUAGGAUCGGUAAGCCUUGCUUUCAUGCGAGUAUGCAGAGUGAUUUCUCAUUAUUCAUGCAAAUAAAACUCCGCUUUUGGAGUCACUUCAUGGUGUUUUUUUGUGUGUUUUAGGUGUAUGGUUACCUCUCUAAGGAAUCACCUGAAUUUCCAGAACUUGUUUGUUUGAACAAACACCAAUAUGAUUUCUCUUUUUGUACUAAACUUUGAUUUCCCAAAAAUCCUUGUGAGAACAUGGGAUCAUGUUUGUUGUUUUGGGAAAAAAAACCAAAGAAUUCUUGGUGCAGUGGUUUUGUAAGUACAAAGGUGUGCUCAGUAUGUUAUUUGCAUGAACAAAAAAAAAAGAAAACACAUGAUUUUAUUAACAGGAAAGGCUCAUUUGACAGAGAAAGUCUUGUGGUAUUUUGAGCCAAAUUACCGACAAAAACUGGAAUAGGUUGAAAAAAUCAAGAAAAUUUUUGCAGGCAUGAUCAAGAGCAGGGGUCAUGAUUUUUUUUUUUUUUUUGAGCAGAACAAAAACUGGCUCCAUUCUGUGAAGCAAUUCCCCUUCGGAUUGUGUUGAGGCUUUUGAUCAUGUUUGCCCCCCAGUUUCUUUGGGUUGAGUUGUUGUUGGGGUUGAACAAAGAUGAUAGGUCAGUUGGAAGGAAUCAGUUUUUGCUCGAGUAAGCUAGAGGCAAGUCAAGCUUUUGUUCAGAGACUCCAACUCUUUUUGAAAAUGAGUGCUGCGACGAGCACGUUUUUUAUCUCCCAUGUUUUUCGCUCAAAAUUGGGUGUUGCAGACUCAUAGGGGACACCUUUUAUUCUGGUGCAUGCAUGAAAAAAAGUAUGAACAUGCAAUCUAUAUGAUGAACUUGCCCUUCGAGGGGUGUCAUAUGAUCGUCACUUUUGUAUGAUGAAACAAGAAUAUUGAUUCUUGCUCAAACUCUACAAUGAAAAUUUUUGGAGUGACGAUCAUUCUGUCACCCACAAGUCUUGAAUACAAGAUGCUUCAAGAAGGGUUCGCCCCAAUGCAGAUAAAUGAUAGCACAUACAACCUCAGGACAGGUUCUAUUCAUUAUGUGAACAUGGGUGGGUUUUCUACCUGGUCUCAAAAGGGUCUAUGAACUGCCCAGUGACCACCUCUCAUGAAGGCAGUAUAGGGGUUUACAAGGAAUGGUUAGGGCACCCUGUGACCGCCAUUACCAAGUAAACACUCAGCUCAUAGUUGGAUGUUUCACGAAUCUGAACCCCGACUGAAAGUCAUGAGGCAGACCGCUACUCCCCACCUAGCUUAGAAGCUUGUGUGUGCUUUCAAAAAUAAAUACAAGUGAUGCAUGAAACAAUUCUAAAAAUGCAUGGAUAAAAUAAAACAAGACAAAAAUGGCAAAACUUAAACACAUCAAAUGCACAAAGCUUAGUCCAAUAUUGUCAGAAACAGUACCUCCCCAGUGGAGUCGCCAUUCUGUCGCACGUCGGAAAACACCCGCGCGGCGUCCCCGUCCUGGCGAUGGCGGUUUUUCUCUCUGUUAUUGGAAUUGAUUUUGUUCGGAGUCGCCACCUAGUUUUUAAUUGGGGGUUACUAGGAAACCCAGGUUGACUGGUCUUGUCAGAGAUUCACGGGUAAGGGACUGAUUGUGGUUAGGGAAGGUAUUAGCACCCCUAACGCACCCUACCUGGGGUAAGCUGCUUCGUGGUUGUGAUGUGUUAAAGAAGUUUUAAAAAUUUUGUCUUUUCAUCGGAAUUUAGAAAUACAACUUUCGUACAAGUUUAUAUUUCUACACCGGUGAUCCAAUCAAAAUAUUAAAUCCUUCCUUAUUCUUUUGCCAUCUCAUUAUAAAAAAUCCCUGAAAUAAAAACAAACAUGCAUUUUCAUAUUUUUUUUGUUUUUCUUUCUUUUUGCUUUUUUUGUUUUUUUUUUACAUCCACAAUACAAGUUACAAUAUUCAAAACUAAAUAAAUAUUACAUUAAAUAAUCCAAAAUUUACAAAGCAGUCCCAAAAACUCCGGGAAUUGCGAAGGAACACUUCUGGAAUUGCAGCAACAGUGCUGGAACAGUGGCGGCGCGUGGAGCAACGCGCCACCGCGACUGGCGGCGCGUCCGCCGGGAAAGCAGCAGGCCGAAACUGGCUUCUUCUCCUUCUCUUCCCUUCUGCAACGGUGACCUGCAAAAUCAAACAAAAACACAACAUAGGCAGUCGAUUUUAGUUGUUUUUUUUUCUUUGUUCUUUUUUAAAAAUCGGUUCUCGGGUUCUUCCCGUUUUUUCAAAUCUGUCCCGUUUCCCUGCCUCCUCUGUAGAUCGGUCGUCUUCUUCUUUUUUCGGUGGCAGAUCCGCCGUGGAGGACCCAGCGUCGUGGGUGAGGAGGCGGCGCCGCUGUUAUGGGAAAGAGACGCCGCUGCAAGGCUGGCGGAGUUUGCCGCUGGAGGCCGGUCUGCGGGUUAGGGGAUCGCCUUCUUCUCCUCUGUUUCGGGUGGCAGAUCGGGUCUGUGAGAGAGGAGCUGCUGGGUUGGUUGCUGCCGCUGGGAGGCUGUUCGGCGGCUGAGGAAGGACUACUGCUGGGUUGGUUGCUGCCGCUGGGAGGCUGUUCGGCGGCUGAGGAAGGACUACUGCUGGCCGGUGAGGGAAGAAGAAGAUGCUGGAACCGGCUGGAGAAGGAAGAAACCGAAGGCAGAGGAGAUCGGUCUCUGUUUUUUUUGGAAGAGAUGGAGAGGCGGCCCUUGGUUUUUUCGCUGAGGAGAAAGGGAGACGGUGGAACCGAUUGAGAGGGAGGAGGCUGAAGGGAAGGAGAAACCGAAGGAAAAAUUUGUGAGAGGGGAGCAGCGGCUUGUGUGGAGGCAGUGAAGGGAGACGGCUGCCUUGUGUUAAUGAAUGGAGGGGAAGUGGCCGGCUAUGGGAGAUGAAAGGAAAAUGGUGAAAUGGCGUGGAGGAAAGGGCUGGAAAACGGUGCCGGUUUGAGGGGGAAGAAGAUGCUGGCACCGGCUGGAGAGGGAGAAGGAAAAUGAAGGCUUGUGCAGGCGGCUGAAGAGGAAAAAUCUGCCAGACCAAAGGAGAGAGGGGGGCGGCGGCUCCCCUUGAAAAAAAAGGGUUUGCAGGGUUAAGAUUUUUAGGGUUUAUUUCCUCUUUUUUUUUUUUUUUUCAAAAAUGCCCCCCAGCUUAGCUGAAAAUGAAGGCUAUUUAUAGGCAAAAUAGUUUUUCGGGCUUCAAAAUUGGUCCCUCAAGUUUUGUGUUUGGCCCCUGAUUUCAAUCGAUUCACUUGGUA
rnacentral:lncRNA from 1 species